CAGGAGUAUAAUGGUGAGGUUAUAUGGGGUUAGGUUUCCAGGAGUAUAAUGGUGAGGUUAUGUGGGGUUAGGUUUCCAGGAGUAUAAUGGUGAGGUUAUGUGGGGUUAGGUUUCCAGGAGUAUAGUGGUGAGGUUAUAUGGGGUUAGGUUUCCAGGAGUAUAAUGGUGAGGUUAUGUGGGGUUAGGUUUCCAGGAGUAUAUUGGUGAGGUUAUGUGGGGUUAGGUUUCCAGGAGUAUAUUGG